CUUUUCUGUGUAGUAGCGUCACAAAGAUUUGACGGUCGUAGGAUGUGACGUCGGACGCUGAAAAAGUUCCCGUGAACUUUAAAGGCCGCGGGAGUUACUCAUAAUGGCGGCUCGACCUGGUCCAGAUGAAUGGCUCCGGUUGAAAGAAACGCUGGGACUUCGGCUCACGGAGACCAGGUGGACGUCGUCCAGAGUCACAGUCCAGUCCUGGAACUGAAGGACCAGAUAGUUUGUCCUGAAGAGCUUCAACACGGUAGGGGGCGUCGUUUUUCUUCUAUUCUGUGCGGUCGCUGCACCGCUGCUGUGUUCGGCUAGGCCGCUGUUGCCUUGUUGUGAACGUGUGUACGAGUGUUUGUUUGCAUGUGUUUGUGUGAACCAUAGCAGUACCAGUAAAUGGCCACCAGUCUCUGCUCUGGUUGGUUUACUUUCUGUUGUUUCCUGUCUUGAGUUUCUAGGCUGUGGAAUCUGGUUAGUCAGUCAGCGAGGUCCUCCAGUAGGGGGCGACUCAGGGUUGUUGUGACUCUGGUCCCAUUUUAAUGGUGUGGCUGUGGAACUGCUGAGCAUGUGUUUAAACUGUUGGCUCUGGGUCUGACCUGUGACCGUGGUGGUCCAGUGUCUGCAGAGUGACGUGGGCUGGAGCUCAGCAGUUUGGAGUCAUGGAGUGUGAUGUUCUGUCUGCACUAACGAUUGUUACUUUUUAGGUGCUGUCGUCAAAGGGUGAGUCCAGAACUUUUUUUUUUUUUCCCUCUCUCUGUGUCUGUCCUUAGGAAUAAAGAAUGCUUAAUAUUUAAAUCACUGAGAUAUGACUGAACACAUGGUCUAUACAUUCAAACAACUGACACAUUUAUCAAAGCAAAGUUAAAUCUCAAAAGUUUAGUCUUAAAAGUUUAAGAAUCUCUCUCACACACACACACACACACAUCGUGACAUUGCGUCUUCAACACUGCGUGUUCCUGACUGCCUUCACGGCUGCAAAAGAAGCUGUGCUUCUUCGAGGGGGUGGGGGUGGGUUUUGCCUGGCUGUCGUGCCAUAACGUUUGUUUUUUUUUUUCAACUUUGGAGGACAACAAACUCUGAGGAAGUGCUAAAUAUCGAUUAGUUGCGCGACUAAAAUGUGACAGUGAGUGAUACUAGGUGUGUUCUUUCUCAGCUGCCGUGCUGAUCGUGCGCUUUAACCUGGCUCCUCCUGCCAUGACCUUUUUUCCAGCCGCCGUGCUGACCUUUAGUUCUGUCCUGUUUGUUGUACCUUUUUAUAAAAAUGUUGCGUCUAAAAAAUGGCGAGUUGUCGGUCAAUGAUACGUCGACAUAACGACCAGUGUUCAGUCUGAAAUAUGUCCAACUAUAACGUUACAGACCAUAAUGUUUAUGACUCUGCCUGUUCGAUAUAGGUGUGUGUAUGGGGCCAGAUGUUGAGCCACAGCUGGACUGACGUUGUUUCUAAAGAUGAGGUUAGCUUAGUUUGAUCUGUGAGGAAGUCUUGUUUUGGCCAAUGUGUCAAAAGGCUGAUGUCCAGAGCCACUGUGGCGCCUCCUGUGGGAUGCCAUGUCCACCUGUCUCCUGUCCUUUCUUUCCCAGUGUGGCCUAAUCUCUCAGGAACACGUAGUUUUUUUAAAUCUAGACCUCAGUGGCAGUGUUUAUAAAUACAAUAUUCCACAAUUUUGACGUUCCAUUUGCGAUCCUUUUAUGCAAUUUAUCGACGUUGCGUUCGUUUUUCACAAUUGGGCUGGUUCUCCGCCAGAAUUCUGGACGUUUUGGCUGCUGUCAUUUUCUGGCUGUCCAGAGUGACGUCUUCAUCGACCACUGUGGACGUCCAGGACUCUGAAAGUCAUGUGUGUUUCCUUGACCUUUGGAAAUGUAUAUUUAUAUAUAUUGGACUUCUGUAUAUGUAUGUUCAUAUGUAUUGGACUUCUGUAUAUUUAUAUGUAUUGGACUUCUGUAAAUGUAUAUUUAUGUACAUUUGUUAGUGUUUUUGUAAAUGUAUUCAUGUGUAUUUCCUUGACCUUUGUACCUUUCUGUAAAUGUAUACAUUGUUUUUGUGUGAAGCCCAUUGUUGGACAGUCAGACUGGGACUCCAGUCGUGGGCUAUGACUGGUCUGUGGGCCACACACUGUCAUCACUGUCUUCAUUGUUUGAUUGUCUUUUUCUGCAUGUUCCACUGGUGCACAGAGUGUGGGCUGAGUUGGUCUGGGUCACGUACAGAUGGGCCGAAUGUGGGUCAGAUUGUUACUGUAGUUGUAAAUCCUGACCAGAGUAUAAAUGAUGAGACCAGGAAUUGUUGUUACUUAGAAUUUAAAAACCAGCUGAAACCAUGUGAUUGGACGGAGAUCAAAUAUGUGUUUAUGUGUUGGUAGCAGGUGGUGGGUGCUUUACUCGGGUUGUCCUGAUUGGCUGAAGAUGGUGAGAUCAGUCAGUCAAACAGGUAAGACUCAUCGGUACUUCCUGCACCAGAGGUGUUGGUGUUGGAUCUGUACCAGCUGUGGAACUUCCUGGACUGCAUGGUUAAGGUGAUCCAGGUGGACCAACUCUUAAAGAUCAACUUCUCAGCCACAGGAUGUCUUCUUCAGGUUUGUUCUUCACAUGAACCUUUUAUCCACCUAUUCACUUUAAUCUGACCUCACUGAUCUGGUCUGUGUCCUGGUGCCUGAUGAAAACCAUAGACUGGUGACUUGUUUGUUGUUUUAGUUGAGGGAGGGGGGGGGGGGCGAGGGCUAACUGCUGGCUGACCAGGGGGCUGCUCUUCAUUGUUGUUCUGUUGGGGCAUACCCUCCACUUCUUUUUAAUUAUUGUACUCUUUCAUUUACAAUUUCAAAAUAAGACCUUCAAUUCAACAUGUCAGUGGAGUGGGUCAUGACCUGGUGUCAUGACCCACACUAUUGUUACCUUCAACAUCUUCAGUGUGAAAAUGAAACAGGAUUAAAAUUUAAUUAAGAAACUUUUAUUUUUACAAUAAACUUCUUAUAAAUAAAUAACAGCUUUCAUUUACACUUGAUUUUGUUCCA